rnacentral:rRNA from 1 species
AGAGUUUGAUCCUGGCUCAGGAUGAACGCUAGCGGCAGGCCUAAUACAUGCAAGUCGAGGGGUAUAUUACUUUCGGGUAAUAGAGACCGGCGAACGGGUGCGUAACGCGUAUGCAACUUACCUUUUACUGGGGGAUAGCCCGGGGAAACUCGGAUUAAUACCCCAUGGUAUUGUUUGAGGGCAUCUGAAGACAAUUAAAGAUUUAUCGGUAAAAGAUGGGCAUGCGUAAGAUUAGCUAGUUGGUGUGGUAAUGGCACACCAAGGCGACGAUCUUUAGGGGGUCUGAGAGGAUGAUCCCCCACACUGGUACUGAGAUACGGACCAGACUCCUACGGGAGGCAGCAGUAGGGAAUAUUGGUCAAUGGACGAGAGUCUGAACCAGCCAUGCCGCGUGCAGGAAGACGGCCUUCUGGGUUGUAAACUGCUUUUAUACGGGAAGAAAAGGCCCAUGCGUGGGACAUUGCCGGUACCGUACGAAUAAGCACCGGCUAACUCCGUGCCAGCAGCCGCGGUAAUACGGAGGGUGCAAGCGUUGUCCGGAUUUAUUGGGUUUAAAGGGUACGUAGGCGGCUUUUUAAGUCAGUGGUGAAAUCCCGCAGCUUAACUGUGGAACUGCCAUUGAUACUGGAAAGCUUGAGUAUUGUUAAGGUAGGCGGAAUGAUGGUGUAGCGGUGAAAUGCAUAGAUACCAUCAGGACACGAUGCGAAGGCAGCUUACUGGGC